rnacentral:rRNA from 1 species
CGUGGAGACAGGUGGUGCAUGGUUGUCGUCAGCUCGUGUCGUGAGAUGUUGGGUUAAGUCCCGCAACGAGCGCAACCCUUGUCCUUAGUUACCAGCAUUAAGUUGGGGACUCUAGGGAGACUGCCAGUGACAAACUGGAGGAAGGUGGGGAUGACGUCAAAUCAUCAUGCCCUUUAUGCCUUGGGCUACACACGUACUACAAUGGGCUGUACAGAGGGCGGCGAGACUGUGAAGUCAAGCGAAUCCCUUAAAGCAGUCCUCAGUUCGGAUUGUAGGCUGCAACUCGCCUACAUGAAGCUGGAAUCGCUAGUAAUCGCAGGUCAGCAUACUGCGGUGAAUACGUUCCCGGGCCUUGUACACACCGCCCGUCACACCACGAAAGUCUGCUGUACUCGAAGUCGCUGAG